AAUUUUAGUACCAGGAAAUCUCGAGAAGAAGGUGGUUUACAGACUUUAUAUAGCAUAAUAGAUAAUAUAUCAAAGUAUCCCCAAGAAGCUAUGUUUAAACAUUACGACAUAUCAAAUGGUGAGGAAAUGAAAUGGUAUUUGGAUGGUGAUUUUUACAUGCCAUUAUAUCACGAAUUCAAGUAUACAGUAGGAGACAAACAUCAAUCAAGCAUCAGAAUACCAACCCAUGUUGCAGCUGAAGGUAAAGGUUACAUCGAAGAGAGAAGACCAGUAUCUGACGCCGAUCCUUAUGAUGUUUGUCGGGUAUUUACUGUAGCGGCUUUAUUUGAUCAUAAGGGAAAUGUGUUGAUUUGAUUUUUUGUUGCAUGAAGUUUGGUACCACAGCUUCAAAAGGAACUAGUCACUAUUCAGACUUUAUUUAGCAGGAAAUUGUUUGUUACAUGUAUACAAAGCAUAUAUUUUUUAUCCAUCUUUGUUGUUGAUAUUGUUAAUCACAGACUUCUACAUAUUUUUCAUGCGUUUUACACUGUUGUUUUAGUUUGAUUGUUUGCUUUGUUAAUCAACAUACGAUAUAUUGUAUUGUACAUAUUAUGGUUUAUGGUGCAAAAAUAAAACUGCUGAUACUUAUAA